AAAUUGAAGAGUUUGAUCAUGGCUCAGAUUGAACGCUGGCGGCAGGCCUAACACAUGCAAGUCGAACGGUAACAGGAAGAAGCUUGCUUCUUUGCUGACGAGUGGCGGACGGGUGAGUAAUGUCUGGGAAACUGCCUGAUGGAGGGGGAUAACUACUGGAAACGGUAGCUAAUACCGCAUAAUGUCGCAAGACCAA
rnacentral:rRNA from 1 species